GUAUGGGCACAGUGUCCCGUUUGUGGAUGAUAAGCGCAGCGUCUCUACACCGCCAAGGACUACACUACCGACUACCGGCAGAAGUUCAAAGGACAUCGGACCGUAAGGUUGUGUGACUCCGCGUUUCUAACUUCAAUAAAUCCGUUCGCCAAAGUUGUUGUGGUCGCGAUAAACUGUAAAUUUGAUUGACAACAACGCUAUGAACUACAAAAUAAAAAUACCGACCCCGAAAAAUUAAAACAAUAAAGUGGCGACAAGUACAACAGAAGUUCUGACUUCACUUUAAUAGUCUUUCAGUGCAUUGAUUCAUAUGCAUAUGAGUGAAUAUUGUUGUGCUGGAUGGAUUUGCCUUCGGAUGUUUAAUUCAUAGCACCAAUCUUAUCCAGUCCAGUGCAGUCUACGUCUACCUAACCUUACCAGAUUCCAUUGUGUAGAUAACCAAGCCAGUUAAGCCAAACCCACACCAAUCCGACAACUAACAUAGAAAAACGUGCGCGAUUCAAAAAUCAAACAAAAACCAACAAAAUUAAGAAUUAACAGAGAGCUGUGUUGUAUUCGUUCCGUUUUGUUUCGUUUUACGAUCGGCUGUCUAGAUCGGUCUGAUAGUUUACACAAUGACACUUGACUAUGAAGAGGAGCACGAUCUUCAGCUAUCCCGGUCGAGUAGCGCAGCCGCGAUCAGUGAACGCACCCUUGAAGAAUGUUGGUCAACCCUGCAACGACUUUUUAUGCACAAAAGCGCUAUGCAGCAAAUACAACAACAAAUUCCUCGCGUUGGACUGGCGACGCACGGAGUUACCGGCACGCCUAGCUUGGGUGGCAAUGCUACACCCGGAACGGACACCAAGCCACAUCAGUGCCAACAGUGCAUGAAGAGUUUUUCCAGCAAUCACCAGCUCGUGCAGCACAUUCGUGUCCACACUGGAGAAAAGCCGUACAAAUGCUCUUACUGUGAUCGUAGAUUUAAGCAGCUGUCCCAUGUCCAACAGCACACGCGCUUGCACACAGGAGAACGCCCUUACAAGUGCCACCUGCCCGACUGUGGGCGAGCCUUCAUACAGCUCUCCAAUCUGCAGCAACAUCUCCGAAAUCAUGACGCCCAAGUGGAGCGAGCCAAGAAUCGUCCAUUUCACUGUAAUAUUUGUGGAAAGGGAUUCGCCACUGAGUCCAGUCUGCGGACGCACACAUCCAAAGAGCUACAGCUGCAUCUUGGUGUCUUGCAGCAGCAUGCGGCACUCAUCGGUGGUCCCAAUGCAACAUCCUGCCCGGUAUGCCAUAAGCUCUUUCUUGGUACCGAAGCACUCAUGGACCAUAUGAAACACGUCCAUGAAGAAAAGAGCCCACCUUCAAGUGGAACAGCUGCAACCCACUUUAGUGAGAUCAUCAAUUGUGCGAGUGGCAACGGAAAUGACAAUGUAUCUGGGGGCGGGCCAAUACCAAUUGGCUCACAAUGUACAUCCGAAUCCACCUGUGCAAGGAUACCUACACAUCCCCCAACUGGGAGUGGACCAAACCUCAGCGACAGCUACCUGGGAAAAAGAAGAACUGCCAAUCAUCCAUGUCCAGUCUGUGGCAAGCAUUACGUCAACGAAGGAUCUCUGCGAAAGCAUCUGGCUUGUCACGCCGAGACCUCCCAGCUCCCAAAUAGCCUCCGCAUGUGGCCCUGUAGUGUGUGCCAGGCUGUUUUCACACAUGAAAAUGGCCUGCUUACCCAUAUGGAGUCGAUGCGUAUGGAUCCUAAGCACCAGUUCGCGGCUCAAUACGUCUUGUCCCGAGCGGCAGCAGAGCAACGAGAGCGAGAGAGCAUACUAGCGGCCACUAUAGCUGCCGGCAGUGGUGCUGCCAGUGGAAUCGGAGUUGGAGAGGCGAGAAAUGUGCUGCCUAUGGGUGUGACAAACUCAGGGGGAUCCAACUCAAAGUGCCCGUCACCAUCAGCAAACUCGGAAUGUUCGUCGAACGGGCGGCUUUCAUCGUCAUCAACUUCCGAUCAAGAUCAAGAACAUGAUCACGAUCACGGCCUAAGUGAAACUGAGAACAGUAGCCACAACAAUAUUAGCAACACCAAUAACAACACCCUGUGCGCGAAUAACAACAGCUGCAAUUCCAGCAAAAUGAACGAGCUGCGUCUUCCAAAUUCGAGUCAAUACAAUAUGGAUACCGGGCUGCACGUUGCCAAUCGAAUGUCACUAAUGGCAGCAGCAGCCGCAGCUGUAGCAGCAUCCCGACCACCACAGGAUGGGAUUGACUGUUCGAAUGUUCCCAGUGCGGCCGUCCAAGCUGCUGUGGUUAAUCUUGCCGCUGCUAUGCGUAUGAACAAUCCCAACAAUGGUUCUACUGCACUUGUAAGCCACUCCGCGCAUCCCCAUUCCAUCCAGCACCAACAGCAUGUAAGAGAUGGUAACUGAAAUAAGAGAUUAACGAAGCUGGCAUGCCAUUGCAGUCAUUGCAUACGAGUAGUCGAAAUGUGAAAAUCAAGUAUUAAAAUCUUAAAAUUGUGACUUUCGCUCAUCUCUUUUUUCACUCGGCGAACAUCCUUUACCCCACCAUCAGCACCCUCAUAAUCUUCAGCAACAGCAGACACCACAGCACCAUCAACAGCAGUUGUCACAUUU
rnacentral:misc_RNA from 1 species